rnacentral:rRNA from 1 species
GAUCCUGGCUCAGGAUGAACGCUAGCGGCAGGCUUAACACAUGCAAGUCGAGGGGCAUCGGGAGUAGCAAUACUUGCCGGCGACCGGCGCAAGGGUGCGUAACGCGUGAGCAACAUGCCCGUAUCAGGGGGAUAAUCCAUGGAAACGUGGUCUAAUACCCCAUAGUAAUUAUGUAAGGCAUCUUAUAUAAUUUAAAGCUUUGGUGGAUACGGAUUGGCUCGCGUGACAUUAGCUGGAUGGUAAGGUAACGGCUUACCAUGGCUACGAUGUCUAGGGGUUCUGAGAGGAAGGUCCCCCACACUGGAACUGAGACACGGUCCAGACUCCUACGGGAGGCAGCAGUGAGGAAUAUUGGACAAUGGAUGGAAAUCUGAUCCAGCCCAUGCCGCGUGCAGGAAGACGGCCCUAUGGGUUGUAAACUGCUUUUCCCCGGGAAGAAUAAGCCCCUCGUGAGGGGUGAUGCCGGUACCGGGGGAAUAAGGAUCGGCUAACUCCGUGCCAGCCGCAGC